ensembl:lncRNA
UUAGUGGAAAAAAAAAUCUUCAAAGCCAAAGAAAAUAAGUCCAUAAAACUAAAACUGGUUUGGUGAAAAAUGUAGAGGAAUGCCACUGAACUUUAAUAAUUUCUGAGUUAAAAAAUCAUUUACAAUGUUUAAGAACAUAUGUAAAUUAAUAGAACCAAAUUCCUAAUUGGAAUCCAAGAAAUAUUUCAGUAAAAACUUGAUAGUUCUACAUUUUUCUCUGAAGUAUGCAUUUCAGUUUUGCAUUUAUAGUAAUUAGUCUCUCUCUCUGAGAAGAAAGCUUUCCACACAGUUGUAACAGGCCUUUAAAGAUCUAGGUAAUAGGAAAGAAAUUCUUUCUACGAAUUCCUCUCCAUACUGUACUGCCUGCCACCGACACCUAGAAGGCCCUCCAGGCUGUCAAGAACUGCCAAAUGAUAAAAGAGAAAAUGAUGAAAAGAAAUGGAACCUUGGAGCUGACCGCCUAAAAGCCAAAAUUUCUCCUGGGAUUUCUGGAUACAAAAGAAAGCUUUUGGUACUUCCCAAAGAACACUGGAUCACAUUAACCUAUUCAAAUAUGAGGUCAGAUCUCAGUGUUUAGGUUUAAAGCUGUCCCAUAUGUGCCUUGAUAGGGAAAAAAGAUGACAAAUCACACCUUCGAAUAAAUUCAUUUUAAUCCCAUUCUUCCUUUUGAUGUAAUAAAAAUAGUCUUGUCAUGUAGCUACAAUUGCAUUUAAUGGUUGCCAUUUACAGAAAUGGAAAAAAGAUAUCUGAGUAUAAUGCCUUCAAAUAUGGCUAAUAGCAUUUUUACAUAUGAGAAAAAUACUUUUAUUUUACAUGAAUAAGACCAUUGCUUCAUCAUGAUGAUUAUUGAAAAUUCAGCAGCUUCUCUUAUUAUAGGGUAAUGAUAAGAACAGCUCCAUCUCUUCUCUGUCAUUUAUGUUAAAAAAUGGUAAGCCAAGCAAAUCUAUAUUCCUAAUGUUUGCUGUAACCCCAUUAGUUCUCAGACAAAUUUUUAUCAAAAGUCUUGCCUAAUUAUUACCACUUUACCUGAUUUUAAUCUCAUAUUUUAAAUAAUAAAGAUGUCUCAAUCUGUUAUAUUUUAAAAUGACCCAGUAAAUGCUGUUUUUUUCCCCAUUAAGCAUUUCUUAAGCACAUAACUUGUCACUUCUGUACUAAUUUGCUGUAGCACUCGUUGAUAAGUGGACAUUAAUUAAUGCUAAAUUACAAUGGAAUUUUUAUGGAAUUACAGGUGACAUCCGCAUCAGCACCAAAUGAGUUCAUCAUGAUUAAACUUAUUACCAUUUCUAAUUAACCUUGAGUGCCCCUGGAUGUUAACUGCACACAAGGCAAGUGUCUAUGCAGCCUGCAACUCCUAUUGAAAACAAACCCUGCAUAUCACACAACCAUUAAGAGUUGAAGAAAGAAUGGCACAGGCCACGUUUGUACUCGUUGUGUAUGCAAAGGAUCACAGAAUGAAAAUAUCAGCAAUAAUCUGGAGACUUUGAGCAACAAAAUUGUUGCUCUCAAAACAAAAGUCAGAAAGAGGCCUUCCACAAAUUUAAUUUGCUUCCAGUGUCAUGGGCAGGCAUACAGAUAAGGUUUAUUUUACUCUCUAUAACCAAAUUAAGACCAAUUCCUUACCUACCUCUUCUCCACUCCCAAGAACAAAGUUUUCUCUGAAUGUUGCUAGACUACAAGGCUUAUACCUUGAAUCUGUUUAUAACCUCCCCUGUGACCUGAAGAGUACCAGGGACACAGAGCAGGACUGAUCUGAUGUGCAUACCUGUUUCAGAUUGAGCUACUGGAGCAGAUUCUAGUGUGUAGCAAGAAGCGAAAGAAGGCAAUCACAAAUGACUCCUGAUUCUGGAAGCGCCUUUUCCUAGCUAUGAAAAUGUGCUACUCAGAAUGCUCACAGCAGGGAACAUAAGUGACUGACAGCCCCAGCUGCUGUCCCACUGGAUCCACCGCUAAGUUUGCUCCAAAACCCAGCGGAUGACCGAACAUGACAGUGGUACUAGAGCAGGAUCCUUCCAGCAGAGUGUGGGAUUCUUUUGAAGGGCACCUUCUACCUGAGAACUCCCCAAGGUUUUAGCCAAAACUUUUAUGGAACUGCAGAUUACAUGAAGCUUGGAUAAAGGAUACAAUGGCUAACACAAACAGAUUGCAAAAUGUGGGAUUAUAUAACAUGAGACAUUAUAUAUGUCUCGACUAAGAAGAUAAAACUGAAACAACCACACAUUUUGCUAAUUUGAUCCAGAGUCCAAUGACAAAAUCACAAGCACUCAUUCUUCCGUAGUAAUCACAGCCUGAUUUUGCUUUGAGAAAAAAGAAAUUUCUUUUGCUAGCUACAAAAAUCCACACAGUCCCUUCUUUAAUAAGAGUGCUUGUGUGGAUAAUGGACAUGCAAACCUAAUCAGUCCAAAGAUUUGUGCUGAAAUGAUCAAGAAAAUGGAGUUCACUUUCUUCAGAGUAUUUAGUUAGUGAGAUACAAACCUGGAACCUCCAGAAUCCCUUUUGCCAAAUCUAAGGUGAAAGUCCAUCUGUGAAUAAAUAUGACAGAG